rnacentral:rRNA from 1 species
AUUGAACGCUGGCGGCAGGCUUAACACAUGCAAGUCGAGCGGGGGAAGGUAGCUUGCUACCGGACCUAGCGGCGGACGGGUGCGUAAUGCUUAGGAAUCUGCCUAUUAGUGGGGGACAACAUCUCGAAAGGGAUGCUAAUACCGCAUACGUCCUACGGGAGAAAGCAGGGGAUCUUCGGACCUUGCGCUAAUAGAUAAGCCUAGGUCGGAUUAGCUAAUUCGUGGGGUAAAGGCCUACCAAGGCGACGUUCUGUAGCGGGUCUGAGAGGAUGGGCCGCCACACUGGGACUGAGACACGGCCAGACUCCUACGGGAGGCAGCAGUGGGGAAUAUUGGAGAAUGGGGGGAACCCUGAUCCAGCCAUGCCGCGUGUGUGAAGAAGGCCUUAUGGUUGUAAAGCACUUUAAGCGAGGAGGAGGCUACUCUAGUUAAUACCUAGGGAUAGUGGACGUUACUCGCAGAAUAAGCACCGGCUAACUCUGUGCCAGCCGCCGCGGUAA